rnacentral:rRNA from 1 species
GGACGAACGCUGGCGGCGUGCCUAAUACAUGCAAGUCGAACGGUCUUUCUAUGGAAGCUUGCUUCCACUGAGAAGAUAGUGGCGAAACGGGUGAGUAACACGUGGGUAACCUGCCCAUAAGAGGGGGGAUAACAUCCGGAAACGGGUGCUAAUACCGCAUAGUUUUCUUGAUCGCAUGAUUGAGAAAGGAAAGACGGCCUUUGUGCUGUCGCUUAUGGAUGGACCCGCGGCGUAUUAGUUAGUUGGUGAGGUAACGGCUCACCAAGACGAUGAUACGUAGCCGACCUGAGAGGGUGAUCGGCCACAUUGGGACUGAGACACGGCCCAAACUCCUACGGGAGGCAGCAGUAGGGAAUCUUCCGCAAUGGACGAAAGUCUGACGGAGCAACGCCGCGUGAGUGAAAGAAGGUUUUCGGAUCGUAAAACUCUGUUGUCAGAGAAGAACAAGUUGGAGAGUAACUGCUCCAGCCUUGACGGUAUCUGACCAGAAAGCCACGGCUAACUACGUGCCAGCCGCGGC